AGCAGCCGCGGUAAUUCCAGCUCCAAUAGCGUAUAUUAAAGUUGUUGCAGUUAAAAGCUCGUAGUUGAAUUUCGGGAUCAAUUAAUUGGUCGUGCCUCUGGUACGUACUGAUUUUAUUGGUUUCUCCCUUCUGACGAACCAUGAUGUCAUUAAUUUGGUGUCGUGAAGAAUCAGGACUGUUACUUUGAAAAAUUAGAGUGUUUAAAGCAAGCUAACGCUUGAAUACAUUAGCAUGGAAUAAUGAAAUAGGACGUUUGAUCCUAUUUUGUUGGUUUCUAGGAUCGACGUAAUGAUUAAUAGGGAUAGUUGGGGGCAUUAGUAUUCAAUUGUCAGAGGUGAAAUUCUUGGAUUUAUUGAAGACUAACUACUGCGAAAGCAUUUGCCAAGGAUGUUUUCAUUAAUCAAGAACGAAAGUUAGGGGAUCGAAGACGAUCAGAUACCGUCGUAGUCUUAACCAUAAACUAUGCCGACUAGGGAUCGGAUGAUGUAAUUUUUAAUGACUCAUUCGGCGCCUUAACC
rnacentral:rRNA from 1 species